GAAGUGGUAGCCUGAUCCAAUCACAGUGCUUCCCCAUAGGAUUGGCUGAGACUGACAAAGAGGCAGAUCAGGGGCAGAGCCAGCAUGCUUCAAACACAGCCCUGGCCAAUCAGCAUCUCCUCAUAGAGAUGAAUUGAAUCAAUGAAUCUCUAUGAGGAAAGUUCAGUGUCUGCAUGCAGAGGGAGGAGAUACUGAAUGUUUAGAUGCAUUUUAGGCAGCCAUGAC